rnacentral:lncRNA from 1 species
GUUGAGAUCAUGGUCAACCAAGCUGCAAGCUGUGACUUGAAGGAGCUUGUGAACAAGUUCAUCCCUGAGGUGAUUGGAAAGGAGAUUGAGAAGGCCACCUCAGGCAUCUUCCCCCUCCAGAACGUGUACGUCCGCAAGGUGAAGAUCCUGAAGGCCCCCAAGUUCGACCUGGGGAAGCUCAUGGAGGUAAUUGUCUUGUGGCACCACCAUGUCUACUGAAAAUAUUUUAGCUGGGCAUUGGAUAGACAGCGUUAAUUGUUGUUCUCCAGUCUACUCAAGUUCUAAUGUGACCCAUGUUGCCUGUUCCAGGUUCACGGUGACUACAAGGAGGAUGUUGGUGUGAAGCUUGACAGGCCUGCUGAUGGAGAUGAGGUGAUUCCUGGAGCAGAGGAGGUUGCUGCUGCUGAGUAGAGGAUAGAAGUUGCUAUUUUGCUGCUUCAUAUCUAGAAGAUGAUAUAUGUGCCACCUGGGUGUCGUGAACUUUGUAGUCAGUUUUGAUGGCUGAUUUCUUGAGUACUUCUGUCGACAUUCCUAGCCAGUGUUCCGCUAUCUUAUUUUGUUCGUGUUACUUUCUGGAUGGAGGUAAUGAGUUGAAAACUAAAUAUUUAGUUUAUUCCUGUCCUGUGUUUUUAUGUUUGAAUAGAACUUGUCCUCUGUUUUGUUAGUUUAUCUCAGUACAACUUUUUGUUUGCGUGCAUACAAGAUGUUUGCAGCUUGCAAUGGCUCCAGCUCCUCCGAGCCAAGAUAGCCCUCCGUCUUAUUUGUAGGAGUAUGAAAGUAAAAUUAGCAAUGUGCUCCCCCAGUUAGUGGCACAGAAAGUGAAGAUGCGGAAAAGAAAAUGGAUCGUAACAGCCAAUUUGGCGUUCGAUUUUUGAGUAGUAUUUAUUGACUGCAAUAUGUACAUACGCAAAAAUGGAUAGAAAUUGAUGUAGCGACAAGUAAUUUGGGACGAAGAUAUUGUGACAAGGGUUCCAAAACUGUUGUUGCAUCAGCAGGUAAUUUUGAAGAGAUCAAAC